CGGGUGAGUAACGCGUGAGUAACCUGCCUUACAGAGGGGGAUAACGUCUGGAAACGGACGCUAAUACCGCAUAACAUAUUGAUAUGGCAUCAUGUUGAUAUCAAAGGGAAUAACCGCUGUAAGAUGGACUCGCGUCUGAUUAGCUAGUUGGUAAGGUAACGGCUUACCAAGGCGACGAUCGGUAGCCGGACUGAGAGGUUGAACGGCCACAUUGGGACUGAGACACGGCCCAG
rnacentral:rRNA from 1 species